GCGCAGCAGUCGAGAAUCCUUCGCAAUGCGGGAAACCGCGACGAGGGGACUCCCAGUGCCUACGCUCAGCGUAGGCUGUUCCCGAGCCUAGAAAGCUCGGGGAGUAAGGGCUGGGUAAGACGGGUGCCAGCCGCCGCGGUAAUACCCGCAGCCCGAGUGGUGGCCACUAUUAUUGGGCCUAAAGCGUCCGUAGCCGGCCCGGUAAAUGCCUGGGUAAAUCGUGAGGCCUAACCUCACGAAUUCCGGGUAGACUGCCGGGCUAGGGACCGGAGGAGGGAGAGGGGUACUCCAGGGGUAGGGGUGAAAUCCUGUAAUCCCUGGAGGACCACCGGUGGCGAAGGCGCUCUCCUAGGACGGGUCCGACGGUGAGGGACGAAAGCCAGGGGAGCGAACCGGAUUAGAUACCCGCGUAGU
rnacentral:rRNA from 1 species